AUUGGACAAUGGGGGCAACCCUGAUCCAGCCAUGCCGCGUGUGUGAAGAAGGUCUUCGGAUUGUAAAGCACUUUAGGUUGGGAGGAAGGGCUUUAGGCUAAUACCUUGCUGUUUUGACGUUACCGACAGAAUAAGCACCGGCUAACUUCGUGCCAGCAGCCGCGGUAAUACGAAGGGUGCAAGCGUUAAUCGGAAUUACUGGGCGUAAAGCGCGCGUAGGUGGUUUGUUAAGUUGGAAGGGAAAGCCCCGGGCUCAACCUGGGAACUGCUUUCAAAACUGGCAAGCUAGAGUAUGGCAGAGGGUGGUGGAAUUUCCUGUGUAGCGGUGAAAUGCGUAGAUAUAGGAAGGAACACCAGUGGCGAAGGCGACUCUCUGGUCUGCAACUGACGCUGAGGCGCGAAAGCGUGGGGAGCGAACA
rnacentral:rRNA from 1 species